AAGUCGUAACAAGGUUUCCGUAGGUGAACCUGCGGAAGGAUCAUUAAUAAUCCAAAUUUAUAAAAUAUAUAUACCUCUUUCUUUAGCUUUUAUUUUUUUUAAAAUAAAUAAAAAAAUAAAGUGAUAGGAAGGGCGAUAUAAUUAUAUUGCAGGGGGGUAGGAAAGGAAAAAAAAAGUAGUUUAAUAAAAUUGCUUUUAAGUAAUUUUCUCCCCCAAAGGUAAUAAAACCUAUAUCUAAAAUCUAUGUAUAGCGCCCUAUAAAUAUAUUAGUAGGGAGUUCAAUACACAGAGGAUAGAAAUUUUUACAUUAUGUAAAAAAAAAAAUAGAUACAACUUUUAACAAUGGAUCUCUUGGCUCUU
rnacentral:misc_RNA from 1 species